ensembl:lncRNA
UGGGGAAGGGAGGCAGGGAGAGAGAGAGAGAGUAUGAGGGAGUGGAUGGAGGGUAAACUGGUGGAGCAGAGAGAAACAGAGAGACAUUGAGAAAGAGAGCAGGAGGGCAGAAGAGCCAAACAGAAAAACCAUUUAAAAAAUGGGGGAGAGAAAACCUCUUAUGACAAGCCAAAGGCAAGAGAGGAGAAAACCAACAAUUCAAUGAGCAACCAAGAGAAACAGUUACCAGCUCUCCCCUCCUGUCUCUCCAACCCAUGGUUUUAACCGCCAGGCCCACACCACAUUGUGGGUCCCCGGGCUUUUUAUAAUGGCUGGGUGUGUUCUGAUCCUGCACUAAAGUCAUUGGCCAUAAAAUCCCGUUCGUAAUUAGUGGUGGGGAACAGAAUGAAAAAGGAAGAAGCGGCUCGGUUGAGGAACAAUUAAACAUCGGUGAGGGAAAACAAUAUUUCACAGCGUGGCGUGCGAUGAAAUGUACUCAUCGUGCUGUGGAUUUCAAUGAACAAAUAAGAAUUUGUUUUUCAUCUCUUCUUCCCCUCGGUUGUAGUUUUCUUCACUUGAUGUCACUAAACCUUUAAUGUCUAACAAGGUACAUCCUAUCCAACCCAAAUGAUAUCAAAUGUUUCAUUGUUAUUGUUACGGGGAUUAAGAUAAAUGGAAUGCAAGUUAUUCUUAGCUUUGCGACAAUAGUGAAGCUUGAAGCUUUUCUAGCUUGUACACAAUAGAAUGCUGUGGGUUGUGUGAGUCCCUGUCAAAACAUAUUAAGCCUAUUGACUAAAUUAAGAUUUUCAUUGGAAUUAUUAUAACUGAGUUUAAGAUACUUCAGCUCACAGAUAUAUGUGGUGAGCAAUGCUUUCAUGUCACAAAGCGUAUAACAGUUGAUGUAACUCAUCGCUUUCAUUGUCAAAAAAAAAAAAAAUCCUGUCAGCGAUCGCUUCUGACAGACGAGAGGCUCGUUGUGUUUUUUUAUAUCGAAUCGUGCUGUUGUUCCAUUUGGUUACGACUACUAUUAUUAUUACUAUUCUGGCGAAC